UUCAACAGCUUCAGAUUUUCUUCUUUUAGUGGGGCCACUGCUCCUUUUGUGUGAAGAUAGAGCAAAGCUGUGAAUAAUGCCUAAGAGCAAAACUAAACCAGAAAUAAAUGUCUUUUUUUAAUGUGAGACCUUCAACCUCAAUUCCAGUUCCCCAGAGGCCAGCUUUGAGUCCUUGUCACAUAAUGCUCUCACAGAUUUCAACUGGGGAUAAAGAUGGUUCUGUACAGAAACGAUGAAGAAACUGCUACUGAGAAAGGAUAAGGAAGAAACUUCUACAGGACAGUUCCUUUCUACAGGAAUCCAGAAAAUCUUUCAUUGAUAUUGAAAUUGGAUCUGUAAUGGACGAAUCUUCUAAUUCACAAGGAGUCCUACUGAAACUGCUGAAGCUCAACCUCAGAUUUUAUUCAUAACCUUUCAUCCCAUCAGUUCUUGAAAGCCACAGUUGUCAUCUGAACCACAUUGCAUUUAUGGAAUUCCACACAUUAUUGCAAGUUUCUCACUAACUACAACAGUCACAGACAUUUAUGUAUUUAAAGGGAACUAAAACCUAAAUCUUAUUUGAUUCUGCAAGUCAGUCUUUGGACAGGCAUUUUUCAAUCCAAGGUAUUAAAAGAGUGAGUGAAAGAUAGUACAUUCAGUAGCAGCACAAACAGUAAGCAGUCCUGUAGAUAACUAUUAAAAUGCCAUGAAUUUCAUGAAAAACCUGUCAGUACUGCUUUUGCAAGACUGUGAGGAAUUAAGCUCUUUUGACCUAUUGGGCUGCAUGCGAACAACAUAUAUUUUAAAGUCAAUAACUUGGUAGAUAAUUGAACAGAUAAUACAGAUAGAUUUACUACAGAAAAAUAUUUUAAAGAGUAGCUUGGAGAAAGCAAGAUGCAGCAUGUUGAUUUUACCUGGUGACUAUGGUGUAAAUGCAUUCAAAAUAUAUGGUACUCACAGUGCUCUCAGUACCAUAGCUAUAAGAGUGAGACAGGCAAGAGAGAUUUGCACUACAAAGAAUAUAGCAUACUCAACUGUAGAUACAAAGUACUUCCAAAUUUCUCUAUGUUAAAACCUGCUAAGUGAUCAAUAACUUCAGACUUCACUACUUUGCUAGACAUCAUGUGACCUGAAAGUUUUCCACAAAAAGGAGUUCUCUUGACCCUCAGAUUAAUUAGUUUGAUUGUUACUUUUAUUCCUUCCUAAGCCUGCUGGGGGUGGUGAAUUUCUUGUGAAGACAGAACUGAACAAAAUGACUGAACCAAACUAAAAUGUUGGAGGGAGCAAAAAACCUUUGUAAUUUAUUAAUGUAUUCAAAAGACUUUUACAAAACUUUACAAUUUAAUUAUUGAAGAUUACAGAAGUGCUUCAGUGCUUCUGUACUGUGUUAAAUAAACUGUACGUGCAAGGAGUAAUAAAUGAAAUUGUUAAUUUCAAUGCAUCCUUAGGGAAUAGUAAAGGGGGGUACAUUAUUUAGAGCUCCAAAUGGAUUUGAGUUUAUACACAGUAAUAAAUCUUAACUACAUUGUUAAUUAACCCUGCCUCAAGCCCUUUUUUACCUUAAGGGUUGAAAGACACAGUGUCUGUAAGGAUAACUCACCAUUCAUAUUCUUAAAGAUGUUUAGGACUGGGAGGAUUUGCCGAUAAUAGGGCACCAAGGCCUC